GUACGUAAGUACAUUGGUAGAGGAGCAUUCUUAAAGGAGCGAAGCAGUACCGAUAAGGAGCUGUGGACUUUUAAGAAGAGAGAAUGCCGGAAUGAGUAGCGAGAUGGAGGUGAGAAUCCUCCAGGCCGAAUAUCCAAGGUUUCCAGAGUAAAGCUGAUCUGCUCUGGGUAAGUCGGGGCCUAAGGCGAGGCUGAGAGGCGUAGUCGAUGGACAACAGGUUGAGAUUCCUGUACCGUGUAUCAUCAGAACUGUGGGGACACAGAAGGACAACACAUCCCGGGAAUGGGAAUACCGGGGCAAGCGAGGUAGGAGUACGGUUGGCAAAUCCGCCGUACAAUCCGAAAACGUGACGCGGAGCGAACUAAAGUAGUGAAGUGUGUGAUUCCAGCUGUCAAGAAAAGCCGCUAUUGUGUGAUGCACGCCCGUACCGUAAACCGACACAGGUAGAUGAGGAGAGAAUCCUAAGGCCGGCGGGAGAAGCAUUGUUAAGGAACUCGGCAAAAUGACCCCGUAACUUCGGGAGAAGGGGUGCCACAGAGAUGUGGCCGCAGAGAAUAGGCUCAAGCAACUGUUUAGCAAAAACACAGGUCUAUGCAAAACCGUAAGGUGAGGUAUAUGGGCUGACGCCUGCCCGGUGCUGGAAGGUUAAGAGGAGAGGUUAGAGCAAUCGAAGCUUUGAAUUUAAGCCCCAGUAAACGGCGGCCGUAACUAUAACGGUCCUAAGGUAGCGAAAUUCCUUGUCGGGUAAGUUCCGACCCGCACGAAAGGCGUAAUGAUUUGAGCGCUGUCUCAACAAUGCACCCGGUGAAAUUGAAAUACCAGUGAAGAUGCUGGUUACCUGCGCCAGGACGGAAAGACCCCAUGGAGCUUUACUCCAGCUUGAUACUGGGAUUCGGUACUGCAUGUACAGGAUAGGUGGGAGGCCGUGAAGCAAGGACGCCAGUCUUUGUGGAGCCAAUGUUGGGAUACCACCCUUGCGGUAUUGGGUUUCUAACCUGCGCCCAUGACCUGGGCGGGGGACAAUGUCAGGUGGGGAGUUUGACUGGGGCGGUCGCCUCCGAAAGGGUAUCGGAGGCGCUCAAAGGUUCCCUCAGGAUGGUUGGAAACCAUCCAGAGAGUGCAAAGGCAUAAGGGAGCUUGACUGCGAGACUGACGGGUCGAGCAGGUACGAAAGUAGGACUUAGUGAUCCGGUGGUAUGAAAGUGGGAUUGCCAUCGCUCAACGGAUAAAAGCUACCCUGGGGAUAACAGGCUUAUCACUCCCAAGAGUUCACAUCGACGGAGUGGUUUGGCACCUCGAUGUCGGCUCAUCGCAUCCUGGGGCUGUAGCAGGUCCCAAGGGUUGGGCUGUUCGCCCAUUAAAGCGGUACGCGAGCUGGGUUCAGAACGUCGUGAGACAGUUCGGUCCCUAUCCGGCGCGGGCGUAGGAUAUUUGAGAGGAGCUGUCCUUAGUACGAGAGGACCGGGAUGGACAGACCGCUGGUGUAUCUGUUGGCUUACCAAGGCCAUGGCAGAGUAGCCAAGUCUGGACGGGAUAAACGCUGAAGGCAUCUAAGCGUGAAGCCCCCCUCAAGAUGAGAUAUCCCAUCGCAAGAGUAAGACCCCUUGAAGAAGACGAGGUAGAUAGGUUAGAGGUGGAAGUGCAGUAAUGUAUGUAGCUGACUAAUACUAAUCGGUCGAGGGCUUAACCAA
rnacentral:rRNA from 1 species